AGGCUAGAGCACACAAUUUGAUGUGCAAUCUCAUCUGAUUUUGGAAGGUAAGCAGUGUUUGGCCUGGUUAGUACUUGGAUGGGAGAUCGCAGAGUAGCAAUGGCUCUCGUGCAUA
rnacentral:rRNA from 1 species